CUUCGGAUUGGUUUAAAGAAGGGGGCAACUCCACUCUUGGAACCGAGAAGUUGGUCAAACUUGGUCAUUUAGAGGAAGUAAAAGUCGUAACAAGGUUUCCGUAGGUGAACCUGCGGAAGGAUCAUUACAGUAUUUGGACGUAAUUCUUCUAGUAUUUUGCCAGCGCUUAAUUGCGCGGCGAGUGCUAUUAGAAGUCCAUAAAUUCUUACACACAGUGUUUUUUGUUUGUGAAAAAAAUUUACUUUGGUCUGGAGCUAGAAAUAGUUUUGGGCCAGAGGGCAACCUAACUUCAAUUUAUAUUGAAUUGUUUUUAAAUAUAUUUGUCAAAUUAUUGAUAUUAAUCAAAAAUCUUCAAAACUUUCAACAACGGAUCUCUUGGUUCUCGCAUCGAUGAAGAACGCAGCGAAAUGCGAUAAGUAAUAUGAAUUGCAGAUUUUCGUGAAUCAUCGAAUCUUUGAACGCACAUUGCGCCCUUUGGUAUUCCAAAGGGCAUGCCUGUUUGAGCGUCAUUUCUCUCUCAAACCGCAAGGUUUGGUGUUGAGCGAUAUAGAUAUUCAGUAUCUAUUUGCUUGAAAUGGAUUGGCAUGAGUAUUUACAGUAGAUAAAUGCCGUUUGACUCUUCAAUGUAUUAGGUCUAACCAACUCGUUGAAACAGUUAGCGGUAGUAUCUGUGUAAAAGAGGCUCGGCCUUACAACAAUCUACAAAGUUGACCUCAAUCAAUACCCUUACAACAAUCUACAAAGUUUGACCUCAAAUCAGGUAGGAAUACCCGCUGAACUUAAGCAUAUCAAUAAGCGGAGGAAAAGAAACCAACAGGGAUUGCCUUAGUAACGGCGAGUGAAGCGGCAAAAGCUCAAAUUUGAAAUCUGGCGUCUUCGGCGUCCGAGUUGUAAUUUGAAGAAGGCUACUUUGGGGCUGGAGUUUGUCUAAGUUCCUUGGAACAGGACGUCACAGAGGGUGAGAAUCCCGUGAGAUAAGCUUCCCAGUUCUAUGUAAAGUGCUUUCGAAGAGUCGAGUUGUUUGGGAAUGCAGCUCUAAGUGGGUGGUAAAUUCCAUCUAAAGCUAAAUAUUGGCGAGAGACCGAUAGCGAACAAGUACAGUGAUGGAAAGAUGAAAAGAACUUUGAAAAGAGAGUGAAAAAGUACGUGAAAUUGUUGAAAGGGAAGGGCUUGAGAUCAGACAUGGUAUUUUGCAAACCUUCUCUCUCGUGGAGGGGGCCCCUUGCAGUUUACUGGGCCAGCAUCAGUUUGGGCGGUAGGAUAAUGACUAAGGAAUGUGACUUGCCUUCGGGGAAGUGUUAUAGCCUUGGUUGAUACUGCCAGCCUAGACUGAGGACCGCGUCUUUGACAAGGAUGUUGGCAUAAUGAUCUUAAGCCACCCGUCUUGAAACACGGACCAAGGAGUCUAACGUCUAUGCGAGUGUUUGGGUGUAAAACCCGUACGCGUAAUGAAAGUGAACGUAGGUGAGAGCUCCUAGAGAGUGCAUCAUCGACCGAUCCUGAUGUUCUCGGAUGGAUUUGAGUAAGAG
rnacentral:rRNA from 1 species